rnacentral:lncRNA from 1 species
CCGUCUGUUUAACCGAUGAGGCAUGUAUUACAACAGAUGGAUGACAUGUUGCAACAGAUGGUUCAUCUAUUGGAAUAAAUCAAACCAACCUUGCUACUGGUUUGACAAACAGUAUCUCCAUCUAUACAAAAGGGUAACACAAAAUUAACUGAAUCAACAGAUGACCAAUAUAAUACAACAGAUUAUCCAUCUGUUCAAUCGAUGAGGCAUUUGUUGUAACAAAUAGAUGAUAUGUUGCAAGAGUUGGGUCAUCUGUUGGAAUAAAUCAAACCAUCCUUGCUACUAGUUUGAUUUCUUCAAACAGUUGCUCCGUCUGUUCCAACAGUUGAUUCAUCAAUUGCAACGGUUAAGGAAACUGUUGCAACACCACCAACAACAGCAUCAAUAUCAAAGAAAUAAUACAAUAUGUUCCAACACCAUGAACAACACAAACACCACAUGUUCCAACACGACCACCACCCCCAGCAAUAGCACCACCAAAGUUAUAAAUAAAAGGCAUAAAAAAAUCUAUACUGACAGCAAGGCUUUUUAAGUUCUCCCAAUAGAUGACUUUUUUCGCAUAUUUUAAUAAAAUAACGGUUCGUUCAUUCAAGACUUAAAAGUAACCUUUUCUUCAAUUUUCUCAAUAAAUAGAAAACUGGUAAUGGAUAAAUCAUUAAUAGAAACAGAUGUAAAUAUCUAAUUUAAAUGACAUACAAAGAAGAAGAUGAGAUGGAACGAGCAAUAGUGAACCAUACCUGCAAUGUCAGAAAAGCAAAGGGAGCAAAACAUCUAGUUUAGUCGAGAAUAUAUAUUCAUCGGUUGAGAUUCGAAAGGAUCCUCAUUUGAAAGAAGAGAGAAAAUAGAGAAAAAAGGAAAGAAAGAGAAUUAAAAAUAAAAAAGAGAGAUAGAUGUGUAUAGUCUUACUUUAUAACUGAAGCAGAGAGUAUUCUAGGUAUGAAUUUUAAAUAUUUAUUAAUAACUUUUGAGGUACAUGAGGAGACGGUGACAUUGAAAAAACCAGAUAAGACUACUCACUCAGGAGAUUUUUGAGUUAUCCAAGUAAUAUUUUUUACCGCAUUAGUAUUUUAUCUUUUUUAUCUCAGACAGAAAAUACCUAAAUUGCUUUAAAAAAAAGAUCUUAAAACAUCUAAGUAUAACAGAUGACAAUUUCUGUUUGAAAAUUUCCAAAGCUCGGUCAUCUGUAGUAACAAAUAGCUGCAUUGUUUGAUAAUUUAUAACAAAUGAGUAAUAUGUUGCAACCGAUGACUUAAUCUAUUUGAUUAAAUCCAACAAAAAAGAUAUCUGUUGCAACAGAUUGAACAUUUGUUUUAAACAAUUUCAAUUGAGUUUAUAUGUUCAACUAAUACCUUAAUUGAAUAAUCUAGGACUAGGGGUUAGUUAUCAUAGGGUCAACUAUAGCUUUAAUAUCAUUUUUUGGCAAUUGCAUGAUGAGACGAUAUUGCGUUCCUCCCAACCAGAGUCAUUGAUCGGUCACUCUGAGCUUAAUCAAUUCUUAUUACCUCAUAUGUUUAACUAAUAUCUUAAUUGAUUAAUCUAGGACUAGGGGUGAGUUCUCAUAGGGUCAACUAGAACAAAUGGCAGUGCCUAUUUGAUAAUUUACAAUAGAUGGAUAAUUUGUUGCGACAUAUGACUUAAUCCAUUUGAUAAUGUCACGAGCCAAACUACUAGACUGUGAGGGCACCUACGCUAUUCUAAGUAUCUAGGAGAACCCUUACUACCUAACUAAAAGUAUGCAGAAGACUUCCGCAUAUUUUUAGCGGGGUAAUAAGGGUUCUCCUAACUACUUAGAAUAGUGUAGGUGCCCGCACGGUCUAGUAGUUUGGGUCGUGACCAUUGGUAUCAAAGCUUUUCAAAAUACGAAGAUACAGAGUCAACUAUUUACAUACAAAUCUAUUCUCCUUUCAACGGCCUAAGUCUGAAACUUAAGUUUCACGAAAGUAAGAUAAAAAUGGUUAAAAGUGUCACCUUGAUGAAGACAAACAUCCAAAAGCACCUCUUUUUCACUACCGAAGCUCCAAAGUCCCGAA